UCAAAGGAAAUACCCCGGAAAAAAAGCGGAAAGGUCCUAUACGUUUGUGCUAACAUUUUACGCUGGACUGCCUCACAAGGAGUUGUGCAAAGAUUGCUUCUGAAAGAGGGAUCGAUACCAACACUUCGUGUGCAAACAUCCAGACUCCAGACAAAGCAUUAUUUUACCUUGAUGUACUGUACACCUGCUCCAGCGUCAAAACAAUGGUGGACUGAUGACAGCUCACUCAGGGCGGGUAUAAGGUUUUUGGUGAAUGAUGGCUGUAGGGUCAAUGAGAAAUCAGCGGAGAGCCCUAAAUGUUUAUCCAGGCUGCUGACUGGUGCAAAUAGUCUUCUGGAGCACCAUCAGGUUUCAGGCCAGCUACCCUGCAUGGCUGCACUGCCACUAUAAAUCCACAAGCUGAUUAAACAGUAAAUUUAGCAUGCCUAUCAACUUACCAUUAACCAGG
ensembl:lncRNA